UACGGAGGGGGCUAGCGUUGUUCGGAAUUACUGGGCGUAAAGCGCGCGUAGGCGGCUUAGCAAGUUAGAGGUGAAAGCCCGGAGCUUAACUCCGGAAUUGCCUUUAAAACUGCAAAGCUAGAAUCAUGGAGAGGUGAGUGGAAUUCCGAGUGUAGAGGUGAAAAUUCGUAGAUAUUCGGAAGAACACCAGUGGCGAAGGCGACUCACUGGACAUGUAUUGACGCUGAGGUGCGAAAGCGUGGGGAGCAAACAGG
rnacentral:rRNA from 1 species